rnacentral:rRNA from 1 species
GGAUAAGCGCUGGAAACGGCGUCUAAUACUGGAUAUGAGCUCUCAUCGCAUGGUGGGGGUUGGAAAGAUUUUUCGGUCUGGGAUGGGCUCGCGGCCUAUCAGCUUGUUGGUGAGGUAAUGGCUCACCAAGGCGUCGACGGGUAGCCGGCCUGAGAGGGUGACCGGCCACACUGGGACUGAGACACGGCCCAGACUCCUACGGGAGGCAGCAGUGGGGAAUAUUGCACAAUGGGCGGAAGCCUGAUGCAGCAACGCCGCGUGAGGGAUGACGGCCUUCGGGUUGUAAACCUCUUUUAGCAGGGAAGAAGCGAGAGUGACGGUACCUGCAGAAAAAGCGCCGGCUAACUACGUGCCAGCAGCCGCGGUAAUACGUAGGGCGCAAGCGUUAUCCGGAAUUAUUGGGCGUAAAGAGCUCGUAGGCGGUUUGUCGCGUCUGCUGUGAAAUCCCGAGGCUCAACCUCGGGCCUGCAGUGGGUACGGGCAGACUAGAGUGCGGUAGGGGAGAUUGGAAUUCCUGGUGUAGCGGUGGAAUGCGCAGAUAUCAGGAGGAACACCGAUGGCGAAGGCAGAUCUCUGGGCCGUAACUGACGCUGAGGAGCGAAAGGGUGGGGAGCAAACAGGCUUAGAUACCCUGGUAGUCCACCCCGUAAACGUUGGGAACUAGUUGUGGGGACCAUUCCACGGUUUCCGUGACGCAGCUAACGCAUUAAGUUCCCCGCCUGGGGAGUACGGCCGCAAGGCUAAAACUCAAAGGAAUUGACGGGGACCCGCACAAGCGGCGGAGCAUGCGGAUUAAUUCGAUGCAACGCGAAGAACCUUACCAAGGCUUGACAUACACCAGAACACCGUAGAAAUACGGGACUCUUUGGACACUGGUGAACAGGUGGUGCAUGGUUGUCGUCAGCUCGUGUCGUGAGAUGUUGGGUUAAGUCCCGCAACGAGCGCAACCCUCGUUCUAUGUUGCCAGCACGUAAUGGUGGGAACUCAUGGGAUACUGCCGGGGUCACUCCGAAGAAAGGGGGGGAUGACGUCAAAUCAUCAUGGCCCCUU